GCUGCAUGUCCUUCUUUCUCUACGCAAAAGAGAGAGCUUAUUUGCCUCGCAAAAAGGGAGGGGGAGAGAAUUGGGUCUGGUUCGUCGAGGAGAGACACAGUACAACUCACUUCAAUUUAAGAGGUAUUUUGAUUGAUUUCUCAGGUUUGAGCCUUCAUGCAGCUGUAAUUUUUUGUUUGAUGUUUUAAGAUUUGGGCUUCUGGAGGAUACUCCAUCAAACAGAAAUAAUGGAAAUUGUAAUGCAGAUGGUGCUGGGAGUCGGAACGAAAGUGAUCGGAAAAGGCUAGGUUCUCCAGUGAGGAGCCACUAGCAAUCUACUCCAGAAGCAAGGUAAUUCUUUUUGAUACCUGCUCUUUCUGCAAUGAACAACGGGACUACCAAUUGAGACAUGCACUACCGUUUUUACCCCUCUGUUUUCUGGACUUCUGCAUUGUUGCCCCCGAUAGGUGUCGCAGCCUGCCACUGCUGCGUGUUUUGAUUACAUCUACGUGUUUGCUCUGUAAAAUGGACUUCUGCUUCUUUGUUCUACACAAAGAGAGAGAGAGGGGUGGAGAAAGGGAAUGGGUUCUGCUUCCGCAUCUAGGCCGAUUGAGGGUUAAGGGACUCAUCCAAUUCGCAAUAGCAUCAUGUUAUCAAAAUGAACAUGAACUAAGAAUCAGCGAGUGUGGAAGAGGAGGGAUUUACUUGAUGUCCUGCAAAUAUUGGUGUUACGCCAUUUGCAGAGAAGAGUAUGCAGGCUUGCGAUCGCUGUUGAGGUCCAAAGACCAAGUCUCCUAGGGCAAAACCAUUUGGGUUCUGCGGACGAAGAGAAAAAGAGAGGAGACGAAAAAACAAAAAAAGGGAGAAGAGAACAGGGGAAGAAGGGAAGAAGGGAAAAAAAGAAGAGAUUCAGAGGAAGAAAGAAAAGGGGAGGAAGAACAAAAGAAAGAAAAGAAGUGGCUCUCCCUCUCGGUAUUUGAUUUUAUGUACGGCAAAUCAUCUAUUGGAAUUGGAUUUAUCAUACGACUAUGUGGUGGAGGCGAGGGCUACACAAAAUUUUGAACCUUGGCGUAAUGAGGAUGAGGACGCGGAUGAGGAGAAGCAGAAGAGGAAGACGCCAUGAAAUCUUUGGAGAACAUAUGCUUGGAUUCAAAAAGGGGGACGGAUAUCCUUGCCACUUUGGAUGAGAUGAAGUCCAUGAAGGUAGAUGCCUCAGUAGUUGUUACCAGUACAGGUAAAAAGUUUAAAUCUGUAUAGUGGUAGUGUUCUGAUCUAUAGAAUUUGAAAGGACCAUCCUUCAGAUUAUUCUGUGCUUAUGUACUGAUUGUUGUUCAUGAAUCAACCAGUACUUAGUGGUGGAGAAUCAGGGUUUAGGAACGAUAUAUGUAUUACUAUUACUUGAUGCUGGUUGAGAGAUGACAGAUCGGAUUACCUUGCGAAAGGUGUCCUGAGGCUUAGAGGAAGACUACAGAUCUUUUGAGGAGUCCUUGAAUGAUGAAGAUAACGAUGGAGGAAGACUACCAUGAGAACAAUGAUGAAAUUCGUGUUGGAAUAAAGGACUGGUGGACAAAAGCAAGUAUGCAUACUUGAACCAGCCAGAUAUUGAUUCCCAGGAGCCUCCGAAAAGGCGUAGCUCGACAUUCAUUCCUAAUUACGCCCGACAUUCAUUCCUAAUUGCUUUGCUUAUAAGCCAACUCCUCUGUAUCCAACCUCUCUUGGUGUCUUUUAAACCAGCUGAGCUGCUUCAAUUGUUUGGAUUGAAUAUUCAUGAAUUAUAUGUUUGCUAAGAGAUCCAAAUGGUUGCACGCACUUAAAGGUAGUUUCUGCAUUUUAACAUAGCAUUCAAUGUACAACUCUUUUUAAAUUUUCAGAAAAUGAAUAUUGAUCUGGCUGCCACUUGAAUUAUUCCUAUUACUGUUCCUUUUAUUUUGAGAGUUUCCAUACUAUCCAAGAUGGUUAACCUGCUAUUGCAUUAAAUAUUUUCUUCAUACCUCUCAAGUGUUGAGAUGAAUUUUUGUCAAAUCUUUUGAGUCCUUUCUGUAUCGAAGUUGUGUUAGUUUUUUUAAUUCUGCUAUGAUUUUGGCUAAAUGUGUAAUGAAGUAAUUUUUACAUGUGGGUGAAUAUAAUUGAUUCUUUGAAUGUUGUUCAGGGACAUAACCAACACCAUAAGCUCUUACUUAAAAUGACAUAGAGCUAAAGUUCUUCUCAAUUCCAUGUUAUUCUAUUACUUUUACUUUUAAUAGUCUACAUGCAUUUGAUGCCAUGUCCAACAAUCAAUUAGAAAUUAAAGUUAUUGAUAAUAAAGCCUU